rnacentral:rRNA from 1 species
AUUGAACGCUGGCGGCAGGCCUAACACAUGCAAGUCGAACGAGUGGCGGACGGGAGAGUAGUGUCUGGGAAACUGCCUGAUAGAGGGGGAUAAAUACUAGACAAGGUAGCUUAUACCGUAUAACAUCGGGAGUGCACAGAUGGUAUUCGCUAGUAGGUGGGGUAAAGGCUCAUCUAGGCGACGAUCCCGAGCUGGUCUGAGAGUAUGACCAGCCACACUGGAACUGAGACACGGUCCAGACUCCUACGGUAGGCAGCAGUGGGGAAUAUUGCACAAUGGGCGCAAGCCUGAUGCAGCCAUGCCGCGUGUAUGAAGAAGGCCUUCGGGUUGUAAAGUACUUUCAGCGGGGAGGCGUUACCCGCAGAAGAAGCACCGGCUAACUCCGUGCCAGCAGCCGCGGUAAUAC